GUCAAUGGGCGGAAGCCUGAACCAGCCAAGUAGCGUGCAGGAUGACGGCCCUACGGGUUGUAAACUGCUUUUAUGCGGGGAUAAAGUUGCCCACGUGUGGGUUUUUGCAGGUACCGCAUGAAUAAGGACCGGCUAAUUCCGUGCCAGCAGCCGCGGUAAUACGGAAGGUCCGGGCGUUAUCCGGAUUUAUUGGGUUUAAAGGGAGCGCAGGCCGCCGUGCAAGCGUGUCGUGAAAAGCAGCGGCCCAACCGCUGCCCUGCGGCGCGAACUGCUUGGCUUGAGUGCGCCGGAAGCGGGCGGAAUUCGUGGUGUAGCGGUGAAAUGCUUAGAUAUCACGAAGAACCCCGAUUGCGAAGGCAGCCCGCUGUGGCGCCACUGACGCUGAGGCUCGAAGGUGCGGGUAUCGAACAGGAUUAGAUACCCUGGUAGUCCGCACGGUAAACGAUGGAUACCCGCUGUCCGGCCCGUAUGGUCUGGGCGGCCAAGCGAAAGCGUUAAGUAUCCCACCUGGGGAGUACGCCGGCAACGGUGAAACUCAAAGGAAUUGAGGGGGCCCGCACAAG
rnacentral:rRNA from 1 species